rnacentral:rRNA from 1 species
CUACACACGUGCUACAAUGGAUAGUACAAAGGGUCGCGAAGCCGCGAGGUGGAGCUAAUCCCAUAAAACUAUUCUCAGUUCGGAUUGUAGGCUGCAACUCGCCUACAUGAAGCCGGAAUCGCUAGUAAUCGUGGAUCAGCAUGCCACGGUGAAUACGUUCCCGGGCCUUGUACACACCGCCCGUCACACCACGAGAGUUUGUAACACCCGAAGUCGGUAGGGUAACCUUUAUGGAGCCAGCCGCCGAAGGUGGGACAGAUAAUUGGGGUGAAGUCGUAACAAGGUAGCCGUAUCGGAAGGUGCGGCUGGAUCACCUCCUUU